CAUGUCUAGUAUAAGCACUUUAUACUGUGAAACUGCGAAUGGCUCAUUAAAUCAGUUAUCGUUUAUUUGAUAGUACCUUACUACAUGGAUACCUGUGGUAAUUCUAGAGCUAAUACAUGCUAAAAACCUCGACUUCGGAAGGGGUGUAUUUAUUAGAUAAAAAACCAACGCCCUUCGGGGCUCCUUGGUGAAUCAUAAUAACUAAGCGAAUCGCAUGGCCUUGCGCCGGCGAUGGUUCAUUCAAAUUUCUGCCCUAUCAACUUUCGAUGGUAGGAUAGUGGCCUACCAUGGUGGCAACGGGUAACGGGGAAUUAGGGUUCGAUUCCGGAGAGGGAGCCUGAGAAACGGCUACCACAUCCAAGGAAGGCAGCAGGCGCGCAAAUUACCCAAUCCCGACACGGGGAGGUAGUGACAAUAAAUACUGAUACGGGGCUCUUUUGGGUCUCGUAAUUGGAAUGAGUACAAUCUAAAUCCCUUAACGAGGAACAAUUGGAGGGCAAGUCUGGUGCCAGCAGCCGCGGUAAUUCCAGCUCCAAUAGCGUAUAUUAAAGUUGUUGCAGUUAAAAAGCUCGUAGUUGAACCUUGGGUCUGGCUGGCCGGUCCGCCUCACCGCGAGUACUGGUCCGGCUGGACCUUUCCUUCUGGGGAACCUCAUGGCCUUCACUGGCUGUGGGGGGAACCAGGACUUUUACUGUGAAAAAAUUAGAGUGUUCAAAGCAGGCCUUUGCUCGAAUACAUUAGCAUGGAAUAAUAGAAUAGGACGUGCGGUUCUAUUUUGUUGGUUUCUAGGACCGCCGUAAUGAUUAAUAGGGAUAGUCGGGGGCGUCAGUAUUCAGCUGUCAGAGGUGAAAUUCUUGGAUUUGCUGAAGACUAACUACUGCGAAAGCAUUCGCCAAGGAUGUUUUCAUUAAUCAGGGAACGAAAGUUAGGGGAUCGAAGACGAUCAGAUACCGUCGUAGUCUUAACCAUAAACUAUGCCGACUAGGGAUCGGGCGGUGUUUCUAUAAUGACCCGCUCGGCACCUUACGAGAAAUCAAAGUUUUUGGGUUCUGGGGGGGAGUAUGGUCGCAAGGCUGAAACUUAAAGAAAUUGACGGAAGGGCACCACAAGGCGUGGAACCUGCGGCUUAAUUUGACUCAACACGGGGAAACUCACCAGGUCCCGACAAAUUAAGGAUUGACGAAUUGAGAACUCUUUCUUGAACUUUUUGGAAGGGGGUGCCAUGGCCGUUCUUUAUUUGGGGGAGAGGAAUUUUUUGGCUUAAUAUGCAAAAACAAAAAAAAAACUCGGCCCUUAUAUAAACCGGGCCGCCUUUUUGGGGGCCCGGGUCUUUUAUGGGGAGAAUAAAGUUUCAACCCCAUGGAAAAAGCU
rnacentral:rRNA from 1 species